rnacentral:rRNA from 1 species
UGCGGAACCCUCCGGGGGGAAGCGCGGGCGACUGAGUGGCGGACGGGUGAGUAACGCGUGGGCAACCUGCCCCGCACCGGGGGACAACAGCCGGAAACGGCUGCUAAUACCGCAUAUGCGCGCGGCUCCGCAUGGGGCGGCGCGGAAAGCUCCGGCGGUGCGGGAUGGGCCCGCGUCUGAUUAGCUGGUUGGCGGGGCAACGGCCCACCAAGGCGACGAUCAGUAGCCGGCCUGAGAGGGUGGACGGCCGCAUUGGGACUGAGACACGGCCCAGACUCCUACGGGAGGCAGCAGUGGGGGAUAUUGCACAAUGGGGGGAACCCUGAUGCAGCGACGCCGCGUGAGCGAAGAAGUACCUCGGUAUGUAAAGCUCUAUCAGCAGGGAAGAAGAUGACGGUACCUGACUAAGAAGCUCCGGCUAAAUACGUGCCAGCAGCCGCGGUAAUACGUAUGGAGCAAGCGUUAUCCGGAUUUACUGGGUGUAAAGGGAGCGUAGGCGGCCUGGCAAGUCUGGUGUGAAAACCCGGGGCCCAACCCCGGGAGUGCAUUGGAAACUGCCAGGCUGGAGUGCCGGAGGGGCAGGCGGAAUUCCUAGUGUAGCGGUGAAAUGCGUAGAUAUUAGGAGGAACACCGGUGGCGAAGGCGGCCUGCUGGACGGCAACUGACGCUGAGGCUCGAAAGCGUGGGGAGNCAACAGGAUUAGAUACCCUGGUAGUCCACGCCGUAANCGAUGAAUACUANGUGUCGGGGGGCAGGGCCCCCCGGUGCCGC